rnacentral:rRNA from 1 species
AGAGUUUGAUCCUGGCUCAGGAUGAACGCUAGCGGCAGGCUUAACACAUGCAAGUCGUGGGGCAGCGCGGACUUCGGUCUGGCGGCGACCGGCAAACGGGUGCGGAACACGUACGCAACCUCCCUCAGAGCGGGGAAUAGCCUCUCGAAAGAGAGAUUAAUACCCCAUAGUAUCUUGAAGACACAUGUCUAUGAGAUUAAAGCUUCGGCACUUUGAGAUGGGCGUGCGGCUGAUUAGGUAGUUGGUAGGGUAACGGCCUACCAAGCCGACGAUCAGUAGCUGAUGUGAGAGCAUGAUCAGCCACACGGGCACUGAGACACGGGCCCGACUCCUACGGGAGGCAGCAGUGAGGAAUAUUGGUCAAUGGAGGAAACUCUGAACCAGCCCAUGCCGCGUGGAGGAUGAAGGUCCUCUGGAUUGUAAACUCCUUUUACAAAAGAAGAAACCCCAUUUUUCUAAAUGGGUUGACGGUACUUUAUGAAUAAGCACCGGCUAACUCCGUG